rnacentral:rRNA from 1 species
UAGGGAAUAUUGGACAAUGGGGGCAACCCUGAUCCAGCCAUGCCGCGUGAGUGAAGAAGGCCCUCGGGUUGUAAAGCUCUUUUGUCCGGAAAGAAAAGCAUUCGGUGAAUACCCGGAUGUUCUGACGGUACCGGAAGAAUAAGCACCGGCUAACUUCGUGCCAGCAGCCGCGGUAAUACGAAGGGUGCAAGCGUUACUCGGAAUUACUGGGCGUAAAGCGUGCGUAGGUGGUUGUUUAAGUCUGAUGUGAAAGCCCUGGGCUCAACCUGGGAAUGGCAUUGGAAACUGGGCAGCUAGAGUGCGGUAGAGGGUAGUGGAAUUCCUGGUGUAGCAGUGAAAUGCGUAGAGAUCGGGAGGAACAUCUGUGGCGAAGGCGACUGCCUGGACCAGCACUGACACUGAGGCACGAAAGCGUGGGGAGCAAACA